GUGAAAUAAACGGAUAACGGUUAGCUGCCGCGCCUAAUUCUCGAACUAACGAAUUAAUUCCUCGUCGCCAUCUUGUACAAAAUUUAGCGGCAGAUUUGACUGCAGAUUUCUCAUUUUUUGUAUCACACCAAUGCCAAACUUUUCGAUAUAACCGCCAUAAAUGUCUAUCAGACUUGUCAAGUUGUCAUCCAGCCGCUUCAAUGUGAUGCAAUACAUGUAGCUUCACGUCAGCACAAAGCAUGGCUUGCAGUGACAGUAUGUACUUCUAUAGAUGACAAUGAAGACCAUCUUGAACCCACACACGGAUGGUAGACGUAUCCAGCCUGGCCUAACCAGCUAACCUUCCUCAACUGUCAUUGAUUAUCACAGGAACAGGAACUACACAGGCAUGAUUCUUCGACCCAGCACCACCCUGGCAGCUCAGACUGGAGUGAUUUCUAAACCAGCACGGUUGAUUGCCCACAAUGCCUACAAGUUGAUAUCACAAACUUCAGUCAGCAGAAGUUCAUUGUUCUCAAGCUGCUAUAAACAAACACUGGAUCUGAUUAGCUGCCCAGUUUCAGUCGCAGGAAAUCUGACUGUCGAUCACAACCACUGAUUCCUGAAAGCCAACAUGAAACAGUCUGAGAUGAUCUGGAGAUCUCUCUUGCCUGGAUGUUGUAAGAUGCCAUUCAGCAACACCAAUAUCACUUCAAAGAUACUUCCCUGUACAUCUCCAUGGUAUCUGCAUAUGGACUACAUGGACUUCACGAACUACAACACGACCAGCAGGAUUUGCACAACAAAAAAACCUACAAGUUGACAUCAAGAAACACCUCCAGUAGGCAGAAGUUUAUCUUUCUCAAACUGCUGGAUGUCACUACAGCAAGCUGCCCCUUGACUUGCAAGCAAUCAGCAUUGGAUCGGAUGAGCUGCCCAGUUUCAGUCGCAGGAAAUCUGACUACCGAUCACAACCACUGAUUCCUGAAAGCCAACAUGAAACAGUCUGAGAUGAUCUGGAGAUCUCUCUUGCUUGGCUGUUUUGAGAUGCCAUUCAGCAACACUGAUAUCUCUUCAAAGAUACUCCCCUGUACAUGUACAUCUCCAUUGGAUCUGCAUAUUGACUACAUGGACUUCACGAGCUACAACACGACCAGCAGGACUUGUACAAGAACAAUUUUGUCUCCCUCCAUAAUAAUCACCUGGAACCUUUCUACUCUCAAUCUCAGUGUGUCGUGAGAUGUGAAAUUUUUGUUUUGCUGGACGCAUGGAUGUCCUCAGAAGCGUCUUGAGAAAGCUGUGUUUUUCCCUGAUUUGAGAAAGUGUGACUUUCGACACUCCACUCCCGAACCUGUGUAUCUACAACGGUUGGCCCAAAUGUUUAGAGAACUGCUGAGAUAUGAGAGCAAUAAUACAUGGACUAGUCACACGCCAGAGAUCAUGAGAUCACCAUCGGACCCAUCAUGAGAUUAUACCUUAGCUCUGAACUGACUUGUGGAAUACACCCUUAUGAAAUGGAACUCUCUUGAACUUGAACUAUAUGGAAAUGGAACUCUUUUGAAACGGAUCUCUUUUGAAUUGAAACAGAACUCAUUUGAAACGAGCUGAUUUGAAACAGAACUCAUUUGAAACGGAACUCUUUUGAAACAGAACUGAUUUGAAACAGAACUCUUUUGACACGGAACUCUUAUGAAACGGAACUCUUUUGACACGGAACUCUUUUGAAACGGAACUCUUUUGAAACUGAACUCUUUUGAAACGGAGCUGAUUUGAAACAACUCUUUUGAAACGGAACUCUUUUGAAACGGAACUCUUUUGAAAUGGAACUCUUGAAACGGAACUCUUAUGAAUUGACUCUUUUGAAAAGGACCUCUUUUGAAACGGAACCCUUUUGAAACGGAACUCUCUUGAAAUGGAACUCUUUCGAAACGGAACUCUUUUGAAACGGAACUCUUUUGAAACGGAACUCUUUUGAAACAGAACUCUUUCGAAACGGAACUCGUUUGAAAUGGAACUCUUUCGAAAAGACAUCUUAUAUUUAAAAAGUAGAGGUCUCUUUCUCCUCAACGUCACUAGAGGACUUCAGAAAUCCCCUCUGUGGCCUUUAUGCAAAAUGGGUUGCCUCGGGUAACCACAGCUUGAAAGAUGUCAAAAAUAUUGAAAAGCUGAUGCAAAAUUUGUAGUUCACAACAUUUGAUGAUGAAUUAGCACAAAAGUCAUCAUGUAAAAAAAAAUUGGACGUGAUCCUCUAAAAUUUUGUCUGCAAAGAAAAGUGUUGCAGAAAAGCCUUCAAAAUGUGCUUUUCUUUUUUGGUGGAUAUACAAUUGAUGACACUCAUAGCUGAGAUCAAAUCAAACCACAGUUCAUGAACAUGGAGGAGAGGCCUCUACAAAUGCCACGUAACCAGCCUCUCACAGCAGUCAGUUGUUCAAGCGCAGUUCAUAAAAGUGAUAACGCAAUGGUUUCAUGGACCAAAUUCAGUUCUAUUCAUUAGCUUGAAAUAGUCACUUAUUGCAAAAAGAGGACAGUUUAAGCGCUGCAUUUCAAUUUCCUAAAGUUGCAUUCUUGUUUCAUGCAUUUUUGAAAGAAUCAAACUAUUUCUUAGACAAUGUUUGCUAAAACAAAAGACUGCUCAAAAUGCAGAAAAUCCUCGUAGAGAAAUGUUUAUGAUACAAUGUUUAUAACAGAGAGAGCUGGUUACGUUGAAUUGAUAUUUUAAUCUGAAAUAUUUCUUAAUGGCAUUGCCUGAUUGGUAAUAGCUGGGUGCAAGAUUGGUUUCUCUCCAACAAAAUUCUUUAAAAACAAACUAUGUUUGCGCGCAAUUUGAACCCACUUCUUUGGACCAAACUUUUGAUAAUUGUUGUAUUGAAUCUCUCAUUUAGACUAAAAUUUGGUUCAAAUUUAAAUCAAAAACAUUUUUAGAUUCCCCAAAAUCCAAAUUUCCUUGCGUUAAAACUAUGAGCUGGAAAUACUCUGUCAAAAAAUCCAAUGUUGCCAACAAAUAUACAAAAUUAAGGUUUUGUUUCUAUAUCUCCAAAUUUGUCUUCAGAAAUGAGUUUUGCAAAAUCCUUGAUCCAUUUUCCAGUACAUCAUAACUUAGCGACUACUAUCAGCAGCCGUGCCAAUCUUGUACCCAGCUUUUGUUUAUCAAGUAUAGCCAGCACUGGUCCAAUGAAUUAAGACAAAGUUUGGCUGUGAAUGAAAAAUAUUGGCGUUACUCACACAUUUCCAAAAAGUUGCAAAUUGCGUAUUUUCCAUUUCAAAGCGAAAACACUCACAACUAGCAAAAAUAACUGUUAUUUGACAGUUUCCUUUACACGAAGCUGUUUUUGCAUAAGCGCGCAUGUUGACAACCUAAAGAAAGCAGUUUUUACUUGUUCAUUUGUCAAGCAAUACAAAAACAAAUGCUAACCACUGUUCAUUACUUACUGAGUGCUAAUGAUCAAAAGUUUAUCCUCGCACUAAAAAAUGAACAGAAAAAAAAAUGAUGCUUCCAGUGCUGGCUGUACAUACAUGUACAUUACAUAAUCUUUUAUGAUAAUUUGUUGAGUAACCAACCAAUAUACUUGACGUUUAACCAACAGGCAAUGUAAUGAUAUGCUCGAGCCCAACGCAUGCAAGUCCCCCCGGGGCGUGCACGUGUGGUGUUCCCCGCCCGCAGAUGCCGGCUUGUCUGGUGGGUCGUCCCUAUCUGCAUUGGCGAGUGGUCAGUUGUUCAAGGUGUGUGCUAACUUCCUGAGCUUGUGGUCUGGAUAAUCGUGGAUGACUUGGUUGACUUCAACAUGGUAAGGAUCCUUUUGAACUUUGACAAUCAGUUUGCCUUUCUGCAAAGGAGAUGUCUUUUUGGCUGUUUCUUUACCGAGUGUUGCUGUGGAAAUUAUGUACCAUCUAUCAAUCUGGAGAUUGCAAAUCUAGAGAUCAAUCGAGCAUCUACUCUUGAUGUCCUGCUUGCAUUUCAAUAGUUCCAUGGCAUCAUGUUGAUCCAAAUGAUCUGCUAACAAAUGGGUACUGUUGCUGGUAUAUCUGAUGUUCUUCAAUGCGGUUUGAUUUUCGGACAGGUGUUUCAGCCGCUAUUUAUGUGAAUAACUUCCAUGGUAUAACUCUGAAAUCUCAUUGCCUUUUAUUGUGUCAUCAUGUACAAUCGGUUCUCUCAUAGAGUGUGUUCAAAUCUUAGACAUGCACGGAUGAAAAUUGUAAGGAAAUAAUAGCAAAUAGAAAUCCAUUAAAAUUAACUGUAUCAAUAGUUAAAUCUUCUCUAAAUUCAGCAUCUGAUGUAUCACUUAAAUUAAUCUUUGCAAACUUAAAAUAAUGUUUGAGUUUUUGGCAGCACAUGAGUUGAUAAACCUACAAAAAAAAACUAAUAAUAUUCAAAACUCCUAAAUUUCAGCUUCCCUGCCUCAAAUAUUAUCUUUCCGUAUUGUGUCAUUCAAAAUACUCGAUUUUGGUUAAAUAGAAAAAAAGAGAAAAAAAGUGAAAAAAAGAAAAACAUCCCUUAUUUCAAAGCAACUUAAAUGUGACUUUUAAAAAUUAAAAAAAGCUCUUAUGAAAACACAACGGAAACGAAGUCUAUCUAAUAAAUCAAAGAAUGGGCCAGUGCCAUCAUAUUUAUCAUCAGAACAGCAGUAAAAAAAAAUCAGAAAUUGAGAGAAAAAUUCAGAAAUUCUGAGAAAAAGGAGAGAAGGCCAAACUCUUCAAAUUGUAGGGGAGAAGUCCUGGUGUGCAGAGGGGGAGAACCAUGCUGCUUCCUGGCCAGAUGGAAGAUGUGGUGGAC